CCCAUCUUUCAUUAGGCCAAAGCUAUGGUUAUAAACUAUUAGAAUAACCCAUUUCUUCUGCCCAAAAUUCGAGCGCCCAAAAAACCCAUUCUUCCGCCCAAAAACGAGAAACAUUUCCCUCUCUUCCGCCCAAAAUCUCUCUUUGUCGCUCUUCCACUGAUUCGCAGAAGUUUCUCGUUGCGACAAUCAAUCUUCUUCUCAAAUCUUCUAAUUGCUCUUUUCUUCUCAAUCUUCUUCUGGUUGGGAUUCUUCUAAUUGCUCUGUCCUUCUCAAUCUUCUUCUCUUUGCGAUUAGGGCAAAAGGUUGAAUGGAUUAAUCAAUCUGGGCUGUUGAAGAGAAGAAAGGUUUUGUGAAGGGAGAGUUACGGCAUUUCGGUCAUUGUGAAGCUGAUCUGUGUGGGAACAAUGAAUCUUCAGAUUGUGUGGAAACUAUUGAUAAAAAAUGUGGUGGAUGAUGAGUAAUGAAGGUGGCCAUUACUGUUCGAAAACGAGUGAUGAUAUUUGCUAUGAUGUUUGUGGCUAGCUUUGGAUGAUUUUUUGGAUUCAAGUUUUGGGUGAUUAUUGUUCUUUGAAAAAGAUAAAUAAAUAAAUAAAUUUAAGGAGUUUCCAGAAAUCCGUAAACCUCAGUGAAGGUUUUGGAUGGUACACUUUGAGAUAUCAAUGUGAUAAAUACCAGAAUGCCCAGAACCAUAUAAUAUGGUUUAUUCAUCAAAAACCCUCCAAUAUUGUGGUAAUUUUUUUCUUUCUAAAGCCCAUCAGAAAAGGACCGUCUUGGCUGGCAGUCUCCUCACUUCGACACGGUAGCUCUCUGCAAAAACCCAUGUAGAAGGAACUGUUUUAUGCACAACCCUUUUGUUUGUUUGUUUUUUUUCCCUUUGUCUUCGAAGGAGUGUCAUUGCAAACCAUAAAGGCUCUUUUUCCGUGUUAUGUCAUGGUCUGGUUGCUCUAAAUUUAUGGCAUAUUUGCAGUCUUGGCAUUUCCGAGUCCAUUCCUUUUGGAGAAAUUUUAAUUGCUUUGGUAAAGACUUCACAAGGCCUCAUAGAGUUCAAAACAACUUGUCUUCUAUCAAGAGUCUUGAUCUAAUUCAUCUUUUAUCCUUUCAAUCCGUGAAGGGCUAUUGUAGUCUAUCUACAGAUUCAAGUUUGACUUUUUGGAUGAUUUUUUGUUGCUGUUAGUUUGGGACAAAAAAUCAUGUUGAAUGUGCUCAUUGUUCUCCAGAUGUGUAGCUUCUUAUUCUUUCUCGUUUGAUGGAUUUAUUGAGGUAUUUAUGAGCAAAUAUUAUUUUCUACAGAUUUCUACAACUCAAGUGUUUGUUGGAUCUUACCAUGUCAUCUUUCUUUGCAAAAUUAAAAAAGCUCAGCCUUCAGUUAAAGCAUUAGUACUGUUGUUACUAAGGAGGAAUCAUAUGCUACACAAGAAAUUCAAAAUAAGAUUAAACAGGUGGAGGAGCAGAGUUAAGGUGCAUAGUGCAACAACAACAAAAUAAGAUUAAACAGAUGGAGGAGCAGCUCAUCUUAUUUGAUCAACAAAAACAGAAAAUAAAAAUGCUUGAAGAACAGCAUUUUCAAAUGUUGGAGAUGCUAAAGCAGAUCACUAUAGCAGCUGCACAUUUCCAACGAGCUAGAGCUCCAACUGGACUGCCAUUGCCAUCUCCAAUUGAUGAAACGUCUUCCUCGUCUGCUACAGCUAUUUGAUGAACCUCAACUAGUGACACUUGAGAUGCUAACAAUAUUAAUGGUUAGUUUUUUUGUUACAUGGGUAGCAUAUAUUUUGACAUGGGGGUAGGACCAUCUUUUUGGACUUUUUAGGAUUGCUUGCAUAUAUCCUUUUAGAUGGUGUACAUGGGGUGGGCAUUUUGUUUGUUAGUUAUGCACAGAUAGAUAGCCACUGAUGAAAAUGUGGGGUGCAUGCUUUAUUUUUUUGGUUAUGCACAUAAAAGAAUAGUGCAUUUUGGAUUUUUAUUGCUCAUCAUGCAUAAAAAUCCAUGU